CGGACGGGUGAGUAAUGCUUGGGAAUCUGGCUUAUGGAGGGGGAUAACUACGGGAAACUGUAGCUAAUACCGCGUAGUAUCGAGAGAUGAAAGACUGGGACCGCAAGGCCAGUUGCCAUGAGAUGAGCCCAAGUGGGAUUAGGUAGUUGGUGGGGUAAAGGCCUACCAAGCCGACGAUCUCUAGCUGGUCUGAGAGGAUGACCAGCCACACUGGAACUGAGACACGGUCCAGACUCCUACGGGAGGCAGCAGUGGGGAAUAUUGCACAAUGGGGGGAACCCUGAUGCAGCCAUGCCGCGUGAAUGAAGAAGGCCUUCGGGUUGUAAAGUUCUUUCGGUGAUGAGGAAGGUGUUUGUUUUAAUAGAGCAAGCAAUUGACGUUAGUCACAGAAGAAGCACCGGCUAACUCCGUGCCAGCAGCCGCGGUAAUACGGAGGGUGCGAGCGUUAAUCGGAAUGACUGGGCGUAAAGGGCACGCAGGCGGUGACUUAAGUGAGAUGUGAAAGCCCCGAGCUUAACUUGGGAAUUGCAUUUCAUACUGGGUUGCUAGAGUAUUUUAGGGAGGGGUAGAAUUCCACGUGUAGCGGUGAAAUGCGUAGAGAUGUGGAGGAAUACCGAAGGCGAAGGCAGCCCCUUGGGAAAAUACUGACGCUCAUGUGCGAAAGCGUGGGGAGCAAACAGGAUUAGAUACCCUGGUAGUCCACGGCUGUAACGCUGUCGAUUUGGGGGAUGGGCUU
rnacentral:rRNA from 1 species